ensembl:lncRNA BACH1-IT2 BACH1 intronic transcript 2
AAAUAAAAGGAUUUGACUUUGGGCUGACAAUUUAGCAUUUAACCACUGUCUCCGCACCAGUUCCACAAGAGCAGGGAUUUAGAUUAAUUGGAAAAACCUCAUUGGUUUCUGAUGGAGGGGGCAUUCAUAGAAACAACCUACUGACAACUAAGGAGCUACUGCGAUGGGAUGGGCAGCCUGCAGCUUCACUCGGUGGGCAGCCUCCACAGGUAUCGUAUCUGAUUUCAGAUACAUAUGAUGGUCUCAAGUGUGUUUUUUACCACCACCACUUUGUAGGCCUGUUGAUGCCACUGCUGUUGAAGUCUAUGUGAAUGGUGCCCCCUGGUGGAAGGAAAAAGAGAAUGGGACGCCAGGAAUGUCAGAUGCUUUUCAGCCUCUCCCCUGCUCUCACGCCUAGAAACAAGAGCUCCACAAAGGUCUCUCAUUCCUCAAGGCUGAUGAAAAGCCCAGCAGCUAAAUGGCCAGAAGCCUGUCUUUGUGAGAAAGCAAGAAGUCUCUCGGUUUGAACUCUUCGGUCUAGAGACAGAUUCUUCUACCAGUGGUGUAAAACCCUAAAGAGGCUCUGCAUAAGACCUACCACUGCUCUGUGUCUCAUGACACCCUGCCCCCACCACUGGAAGGCCACACUUAUUCUUUGUGUUCAUGCUUCUCUAUGAUCUGCAAGUUUCCCAAGAACACCUGGAUUCGAAGCUCAAGUCCACCGCUAAAUAGCUAUGUGACCUAAUGUGUCAGAUGGUUAUAAGGAUUACAGAGAAAGAGGUAUAGAUAGAGCUGGUAGCAGUGACAGACACAUCUUUACAUCAUAU